rnacentral:lncRNA from 1 species
GUUUGUAUCUUCAUCUGGAGAAUCCCACGGAUUCCUGGAGGCGAAAGGAAAUGCAGGUGCCGGAGUCCUGCUGCCCACAGACUCCGCACUCCGCCUCCCUCCUCGAGGCAGCUGCCAUCCGCGUGCUUCCGCGCACCCCCACACACCUCACUUCAGAUGGACUGAACUCCGUCUCCGCUUGUCUUAAGGCUGUGGUUUGGUAUGCGACAGCAGUUAUUGGGAAUACAGGAGCAUUCUGUAGCAUUUGACUCAUCAAAUAUUCAUUUACAUUGCUGUUGUCUUCCUCAUCUGAAUCAAGGUCUUCAUUCUGUAUGUCUCCGUCUGUCAUAUCCUGCUAACGUUUUCACCUUACACAACACGAGUCAUCACGCGUGGAUGAAUAACCUGAUUCCAACCUCUUUCCAAAGUUGAACAAGUGGAUUUUCAUGCAACUUGUACUGGAUUGGGCAAACCCUAUGAGAAAAAUGAAAAGAAAACCUUUAAUAAAACAAAUUAUAAAUAUACAAAAUGUAACAAUGCAUAAUAUGGGUAAAACUCACCUGUUUAUACUUUGACGCACAGGCAUACACCUUGCUGUUCAUUAUACCAAGUGGACGAACACAAAGGUUGCUCCCUGUAUUCCCCCAGCACAGUUGGCUACGGUUAUGCUAAAGUACACAUUGUCAUUAGAGAACUGCGGUGUGGGCAUCUGUGACCACCCACGAUGCCUCUGGGCCAGACACCAUUGCUCUGGUGUCUCCCUCUCAAUCUCCCAUCAUGCCAGUGCUCACCUAAGGCAUCCAUGAUCUCCGAGGAUUUUAUUUUGUGUUUUAUUUCCCUUGGGAAAAUGGAAAGAGAAAUAAGCGUUAGGUACUAUUUAGAGUUAAAUGGAGGAAAGGAAAUGACUCAGUUCCUUUGCUUCUAACUGUACUAAUGGCAUCAGUACCCUUGACAGUGUAUAGUAUAAAAAGAAUCAUUAAGUUCAUAAUGCUCAGAAUUUAUCAAAGAAAAGCAAUAAAAUAUAUUCUACAUGUAAAUUAUACAAUAUUUUAAAAUAUAAAUAAUAACACAAUGUGAAGCAAUCAGAAAAAUGAACAGUAAAACAAGAGGAAGCACAUUUUGUAAAGAAUUCUCAUCAUUCACAUAAAAUAUUGGAGGAAUGGUUUUUAUCCUGUACAGUGUGAUCCUAGUCCAUACAUGUGGGCACACACAUGACUAUGCCACGUGGAUAUAGAGAAAGGUUACACUAAUUCUGUGAGACCCACAGAUGAUCCCGCUGAACCAUAGUACUCAUGCAGGGUGUGGCAUUAGCAGAGAAUUAUUUUUCCUUUUGAUAUCUAAAGGCAGAAGAACAAAAGUCAGCUAUGUAUGGUGGGUACACAGCUAUAAGCCCAGUUCCUAGGGAAGAUGAGACAGGAGAAUCAAAAGUUUCAGACAAACCUGCACAUCUUGGCCAGACUGUCUAAAUAAUUAGGGGGAAAAGUCAAGUACGUGGCUCAGUGACUCAGUAGCAGGGCACGCUGGUCUAGAGGCCUUGGGUUCAAUUCCAGUGUCAUGAAAGAAAAUGAAAUGUUAGUGGAAAGUGUCAAAUUAUGUAUUAAUAAUAAAUAUUAAUG